GACGUUUUGAAACCAAAUUUACUUGAGCAUGCCUUCCUUCAAACAAAGGUUUUGGAGGUCAACUUGGUCACAUACCCCAAUGUUGUUGAUGGUAUAUUGGCUAAUGGGGUGGAUUCAUACAUGCUUGCGCUUCAGGUGCUGGUCGAGUUUUUGGGACCCUUUCAAUGGAGUGGGCAUUAGAGUGCAUGAAAGAUCUUCUUCAGGUUAACCUGAGAGGAAAUCUCCAAAUAAAUGUUCAGCUAAGUUGUGAGAAACGCAGUAGUAGAAAAAGGAAGCACAAGAUGUUGCCAUUGAGCACUUUUAAAGGUUUUCUGCAAGCUAUAGGGGCAAUGCAAGGCCAGGGAUUUUUCACAUUGGCAUGUGUGCAACUUCUUGGUGUUUUUAUGAAGAAAUUCAAAUAUUAGAAUGACACAUGGGUUGUCACACGCCCAUGUGCCAAGCUCUGUAUUGUUCAUCAGGGGAAGUCUCCAAGUUUUCAGCAGCCAGAAGGCCGCACUACCACCACACGGGCGUGUGCUAGGCCAUGUGGCUCACACAGGCAACCACACGGCCUACCACAUGGAUGUGUGGCGUCCCGAAGCCCCCUAUAAAUACCAUUAUAACUUUAUUAUAAGUAUCUUUUUCAGCAAGUUUGGUACUAGGGUAGCGGCUAAGGUCUAGAGACUUGGUCUUUGCGGCCAAGAGAGGGAUUCAUAAUCGUUCUCCAUCGACUUCAUCAUCAACAAGUCUAUCAAGGGAGUCGCCCAAGCUUUGUUUGAGGAAAUGCAUUUGGUUUCAAGUGGAUUUGUUCAUUGGUGAUUCAAGAGAUCUUCAUUAACUCAUCUAUUGUGAGGAUUAGGGAAAUUAUUCUUAUGGAUUACCUUGUAUUUCAUUCUUGCCAUUUGGUUUUGUAUUUCUCUUCUAUGAGGCC